UAUGUGACCAGAAUAGCUUCUCUUUCUAAUAUAUGGUGUCUUUAGUCUAGGUAACUGUCAAUACGAACAUUUCAACAAGGUAAAUUCGUUAUAUAUUCAUAUCAAUCCAUUACUUCUCUUUCUGUGAUUCUUUCUUUCUUGUCUUUUUUGUCCAAUUUAUUUUCUUGUAUUAUGUGUAUGUUGCACAUCUUCAUAUUGCGCUUAAAAAACGAACAUGGGAAAAUUUACGAGUUGUUUUUCAUCAGGUGUUUUGAAUUCCUUAGAAUUAUCUAUGCUUAGUUGAAGCAUUGGUAACUCAUGUAGGGAGGUGCUGCCAACUAUUCAUGAAGAAAGGAGAACGUUGUCUGGUAAUUAUGGCAACAACAGUGAUUCAGCAGUUUUACAAGUACUUGAAGAGAAUUUAUUUAAAGAAACCCAUGCAACUAAUUCAAAUGAAAGAGAUAAUGGUGGUAGUUUAUUGAUGAAGCAUGUUUCAUCAGCUUGAGAUAAUGCAGCACCAACCUUUGCGGGUAUGCCGAAAAUGCUUUCAAACCAGAGGGGUAGUAGGACUAGGUCUAAAAGUGGUGGUUAUCCACGGCCCGUGGUUUUUCCUUCAUAUCCUUUUCAUUGUAAUUUUCUAUGCGACUUAAUUUUCCCCAUGAAUGUGUUUGUUUGGGUUGGUUUUUCUUUUUCUUAAUAAUACACUUAUUGAAAAAGCUUUAACUGUUUUGUACUCUUAAAAGGCCUGCAAAUGCAAGCACAACAAAAUCUGCAAAGAAAGAAUCAAAGAUUCCCAAAAUACCUACAUCAAGGUUAGGUGCUCAUUCACUUCCUAAAUCCAAUAAGAAUAAUGUGCUCAGUACAAGCCACUCAAAGCAUAAUCAGAUUGGUCAAACAGGUAUACUUCAAUUUUUGCUUGUCAUACUAGACCGUUUGUUGAAUCAAAUUUAUUGCCCGCAUCAGAAAAAAAUGGAUUUGUUCAAAGAAUAAUCAGAUUGGCUAACCAGGUUAUUAUUGUAACAGUAAUAAUUUUUAAAGGUAGUGAUAUGGUAUUUCAGGAUGAUGCACUGCCUGAUGGAACUGAACUAGUUUAUUUGAUUCUCAUUGAGGUGUUUACUGUUUCAAUAUUUGUGAGCAGGUCAGCCCUUCUCAGUUUGAAGCACAUGCGGGUUGGGCUUCUCGUCGCAAGCCAUGGAGGAAAUCUUUUACUUGGUACUGCAAAUAUUGCGAAAACAUGUUCCAGAAAGAAAAUUUUGUGGAACACAAUGCAAAUGCUGUGGCAGCUGGAAGAAUCACAGGAAUAGAUUCUCUAGAAUAGAUAACCAAGCGUUGCAUCCGCAUUGUUGAAACUACAGAGACUGAUGUUGGUGGAUGUGCACUGUGCAGGUUGUCUUCACACUCUUUUUUUCUCACCAUAAUUUCUCUUUAGAAGCUUAAGUUGUCUCUUAAUAGUUU